UCCCGUUUCUGUUCUGUUGGUUUUUGGAAAACGAGAUAAUGAUCGAGAGGGACAGACGGGGGCAUUCGUAUUGCGGCGCUAGAGGUGAAAUUCUUGGACCGUCGCAAGACGAACUACUGCGAAAGCAUUUGCCAAGAAUGUUUUCAUUGAUCAAGAACGAAAGUCAGAGGUUCGAAGGCGAUCAGAUACCGCCCUAGUUCUGACCAUAAACGAUGCCAACCAGCAAUCCGCCUGAGUUACUCAAAUGACUCGGCGGGCAGCUUCCGGGAAACCAAAGUAUUUGGGUUCCGGGGGAAGUAUGGUUGCAAAGCUGAAACUUAAAGGAAUUGACGGAAGGGCACCACCAGGAGUGGAGCCUGCGGCUUAAUUUGACUCAACACGGGAAAACUUACCCGGCCCGGACACNGGAAGGAUUGACAGAUUNAGAGCUCUUUCUUGAUUCGGUGGAUGGUGGUGCAUGGCCGUUCUUAGUUGGUGGAGCGAUUUGUCUGGUUAAUUCCGAUAACGAACGAGACUCCAGCCUA
rnacentral:rRNA from 1 species